rnacentral:lncRNA from 1 species
AAAAUAUAUUAAGUCUAUAAUAUUUAAUAGUAAUUGUAGAACCUAAAAUCUACACUAAGUAUUUGAUAGUGAUUAAGAGUUAAAUCUGGGGAAGAAGAUAACAUGGACAACGAUAUCCUCAGAACACAACGAUGUAAUCAGGUCUGAGUCGGCGAAAAUUGACUAUAUUCGCAGGUCGAAUAUCACAGAGAUAUCGGGAUCGAGAAGGAUCGUGACUGAACUCGGGAUCGAGCUGCCUACGUACCCGUCAAGGGAUCAAGUCUAAACAUAGUUCGGUUAUCAUCAUCUCUCGAAAGAGACGCCGGGUUUCUUUGUUAGGAUUUUUUUGUUAUCGUCUCGGGACAGACAUCGAUUAUGGACAAGAAUAAGGAGUUAGGGUUCUCGUAUCGGCUAAUCACGAUCUCGCAAGAUAAGGUUUCGAGUGAAGAGCCAUUGUUCUUGAUCAAACGCGGAAGCGAAUGUGAUCGGGAAGAGUAUCAUGUCUCCGGCUCGAUGCUAUUCUUCGGGACGAGUUAAACAUAAAGGAAUAACUUAUCUCUUUGAAAAAUGGAGACGUCGUCUACGGUUUAGCUCGAGCUUAGCGAGCUCUCCUUUCCUCCUCUCCAUCAAGCGGUGGUCUUGACUCUUAUGAAGAGAAUAUUUAAUGGUUUCUUUUCUGGUUUUAUUCGUGAGAGAGACUCCCUAGAUCACAAGCUCUCCUCCAAAGGCAUAGAGAAUUAUAUCUCUUGUUAAGCGUGAUCUCAUGUAGAAGAAGCGUGAUUCCUUCUUCAUUUGUUUGUAUAUGUAUUUCCU